UUACCUCCUGUUGAUGCCAAAGUCUGAACUUUGCUUCUGCAAGCGGCUGUCAGGGGCAAGGAGCCACCAGGUUACCUCUCAACGACAAACAGCUGACUACUCCAAUAACAGCUUCACUGCCAAAGCGUGAGCUUUCAGGAGAUGCACUUCUAUCCUAUCUAUUUUGGCUACAGAUUUCUGAAGAUGAUCCUACUCAUUUUUUGAAGAUCUAGUUUUCUCUUGCCUGCAAAAGGCAGCCAAGAGAUGCAUACAAAGAGACUGUGCUCUGUAAUUGGAAUAUGCCGUGAAGCAAGUUACUACUAUUGGAAAUGUUAGCUGAGGCAGGCUGCACCUCUUCUUGGAUAUCUGCUAUGGGACACAUGCAGCACAGCUCUGCAACAUCAGCUGCAGCUACAGUCACGUUACAGCUCUUGUACAGCAGAGGAUGGAAACAACUGCUCCCCAGUAAUGUAAAGCUCACGUGUCUUCAUGAUGGAUUAUUGCAAUUGAUUAAAGGGGAAAGAGGAACUCCCCAUCUACUCAUGAAA